rnacentral:lncRNA from 1 species
GUCAGAAGACGUAACAUGUCCAGCCUUUAGAAAUAUUGUAUAAAGCAGGGGUUGGUAAACUAUAACCCACAGACCAAAUCUGACCUGUGUGCGCGCACACACACACACACACACACACACACACACACACACACUAUACGUGGCCUAUUUUAAACAGCCAAUGAGUUAAUAAUGGUUUUUACAUUUAUAAAACAUUUUAAAGCACACAUAGACACACAGACACACAGAGAGAGAAACGAAUAUGCAACAGAGAUUAUAUGUGGUCCAUAAAGCCUAAAAUAUUUACUACCUGGGGCUUAUAGAAAAAGUUCGCCAAUCCCUGGACUAAGGCAAGAGUAACAGUUUUCAAUUCAGCCCAUUUUAAACCAGUGCUUAUCACCACAGUUGCUAAUGGAGUGGGAUGGCUGCUGUCACCUUGUGUUGGGGACCAGCCUCAACACCACCCGUAGGGUACCCAAAGUCCGGUGGCGACGAAGGAAUGAGAAGAGACAGAUUAAGAGUGCAUAAAGGGUGGGGUGCCAGGGGGCCAGCUGCACUUUUGUAGGGCUGAGCCCAGCAGGCCAUGAACAGCAGCAGGAGGCAAACAGAUUCCUGGGUGGAAAGGGCCACGUCCCUGGUAGGGCCUCACCUUCAGGCCUGGGAGGGCCGUGAUAAAUGCCCAGUAGUAGGAUUGCUGGAUGAUAUAGUGGUUGUUUUUAUAGUUUUUAAAGAACCUCCAUACUGUUCUACAUAGUGGUGGUAUUAAUUUACAUUCUAAU